CCCGAAUGCACCGACUGAUGCAGGCGGCCCGGUACCUGCAGGUGCCAUGCCUCCUUCUUAACCAAGGCCACUCUAUCUCCCCGUGAAGUACCCAGGCAGAAGGCCGGUGGGGUUACAGGAGUGUCUCUCUCAGAUGAGACACAAGAUGGUCCCUUCCCUUGCGUCCCUCCUGUUCCUUCAAGAGGAGGACUGUCUACCCACCCUGAAGCUUCAUGGAGAGAGAGCACACCGUCGGUAUUCAAUAUGUAGUUUUGAAUUGAAUUAACUAGAGUGAAGAAGAAAGCAAAUUCAGAGUCUUGCUCUGUCGCCUAGGAUGAAGUACAGUUGCACGAUCUUGG